UCCCAUGCAGCUACAGAGAUAAAUAUGUGAUUAUUCUCUCAUUCCCACUUGUACCACAAGUGAUUAUUUACAUCUUAAGAAAUUGAUGUUUCUGACUGAAGUCUUCAGGGUAUUCCUGAUGCUGCUCUUCAGCUGAUUGUAGAAACUAAUUGGGAGAGAGAGAUUUACGGCUACAAUUAACUCACAACGUCGGUGUGUUUUCAUCGAGUCAGUCCAGACAGAGGUUGACCUCCUCCGUGUGAACUCAUAAUUCAGAUCUCAAAGAGCAAGAAGCAAAACCUCACAGUUUGAACAUCUGUUGUAGAGCAAAAAGGAGACGAAUAAUAGCUGGGUUAACUUCUUAAAAUCCUGUGCUGCAGGAAGAGUGUUUAGAAAGAGAUGUUUAUUGAGAGUGUGCAGUAGUGGUGUUAUUCUUCUUAGGGUGCAAAGCUCUGAGUUGUUUCAGGGUUUGGUACGUCUCCUCUGGUCGAAGCACUGUUGGUGCUAUGUGUCCUGGGCUUUGGAGAUGGACAUCCCUGGGGGCAGAGGAGUCCGUUCCUUCCAUAGUGAUGAUCCCGAUUCUGCAGUACGAUGCCUUUGAAUCUCUCUGAUGUUCCUUUGGAUGUUUUGGUAGCUCUAACUUUCAGAAAACUUUUUUUUGAAACUUCUUCACUCAUCUCCAGCUUCAAUGGGUGUCGAAUUGAAUACCCUUUGUUGAGUGUAAGGCGUCUGUUAUCUGUUUUGGCAGCCUUCGGUUUGCAGCGUUCAAAGAAAAACGCUUCCCUCAGUGCUGCAGGUUUUCUUCUUCUGCUUUAACAUCUUCAAACAACUUAAUUUUGUGGAGUUUGUCCAUUUCCCAAAGUUUUUUAUCUCUGCCAUCCAGGCUCGAGGAUUCAUGUGCAGAUAGAAUAUUUGGGGGUAUGGGAAGGAGAGGUUUGGAGGUAAAAAAUGGCGUUAUUCAUUGGUUACUUCUGCAUUUCUGCCAUUUAAUUUUGUUUGCACAAUCAAGCAGCUUGGAACUGGCUGAAUUGUGCAAAGUGACUUGUGCACUGUCACAUGUGAUGGCAUCCCUGUGUUUCUUGAACGCAGUUGGAAGAGUGGUGCUUGUGCUGGUGACAUGGGUUGGUAGAGCUGGGGCUCCUGUCUCUUUGGGGUUGCUGAGGUCUGGGCAAGACUUCCAGCUGUGAUGGCAGUAUGGAAGUCCCCUAAUGCACAAGGGAUAGUUAGGCAUUGUUUUACCACUGCCUGCAGUAGGGAUGACCUGUGCUUCCACCAGGUCUGAGCUGCAUUAAACUGCUUUAAUCUUGUAAAUUGACUUAUUCUUCACUCACUCAGAGGAACUUGUUCAGAGCUUUUAGGCUGCUAAUGCCAUAAGUACAGCACUACGCCUACAAGCCAAUUACAGAAAGCGAUGACUUGAGGAAGGGGAGCUUUGGAAUUAGCCCUUCUGAUAGAAAGUAGUGCAGAGCACACCAAUGCCCCAGCGCUUUGCUUGCUUUGCUCAGUGCUGGUGAGUGCAGGCCAGCUGGCAAUGAGGAGCUUUUUGUGGCCGUUCUUGCAGCCCAAGUGAGAUAUUUGAGACUAAUAAGCUAUGUUACCAUUGAGAAAAAGGAUGUCAGGUCUUUUCCCUUGGGCUGUCUCCAAACCUCCAUCAAACAAUGGUGCUUCAGUUAGGGCUGUGGCAGGUUCUGGCAGGAGCAUUCAAGAGUGCUGCAGUGGUGUUGAGCUGCUGUGGCUUGUGAAUCAAGGGGGGAAAGGAAAAAUAAGAGGAAAGGCUUUGUGUAACACUUAAAAAAAUAAUAAUGAUAAUCGUAAUAAUGACUUCUUUUCUGUAAAAGUGUUACUUGAAGAAUACAUCAGCACUUUCAGGCUAGAAAAAUGUGGGGUUUUUCUCUGCUGUUCAUGGGUGCAACCGAAGGGACUUUGUUCGUGCUUGGAAAACGUGACUUGAAUUAGCAGAGCAUAAGAACCUCCUGCUGGAGAUGUGGCUUCCUGAGAGUUGAUCGUGUGAGAGUAUUUUGUGAAAAAACAACAUAACUGUUCACUUUGUGCUAGCAAUUAGGCCAUCUUUUACUAAAGGCUGAGUUUAUAAAAAAACAACAGACUGAAAUGAGCACCAUUUGCAAUGGGCUGCCUGAAAUUUUAGUAACUGACUCUUAUUGCUAUAUUAUUUUUUUUAAUGUUGCAGGGAAGAGAAAAUUGAGAAUAAAUUGGCGAGUACACCACACACUUGUGUCUUAUCUCCAGCUUUAUAUUUAGAAUUGAGUUUAAAAUAAGAGUUCCUUUUGUUUUUAGGUUUGGGCCAUAUGUGCUGCUGUCUCUAUAAAAUGUGAGUGAAGCUAAUUAACUACAAAUGAAACACCAAACUGCUUUGGGUAGGGGAUAUUGCGCACGGUCUCGAUGGAGUGAUGCUCGUGAUUAUCCUCUGCCAUGACCAACUUCUGAGCGUGUGGUCUGGUUCCAUCAGAAGACCUUGGUAUUAGUGAGUUCCUACAGGAUUUGUACAGGAUUUUAUCCUACAGGAUACAAGAAGAGGCAGUGCUCAUUGCUGGCUACGGGAGAAAGCUGAGGUGAGCCAUGGCAGCUCUGGGAGGCGAGUUUGAUUUACUGUGUUGUGGUGUUGAGGGAGGUAAUAGAUACCAGUGUGGAGCUCGCUUCCAUUACUGUUAUUUUUGCUGCCAGUGUAUCAACAUGUUAGCAAAUAUUUGCAUAAAUAUGGGGGUAUGAUAUGUCCUGAAAGCAUUGCUGGAGUUUCCAAUUCCACUUCUGUAUUGUUGGUGGUUACUCACAUAGCCAGUAAGCUGAGCACCAGCGGGAUCAUCCUGCUGGAGAUGGAUUACCACUGUGAAACACUAUAGAGUCAAUGAAUGAAUUUGUUUCUGAGAUAUUUGGGCUGUACAGGGUUGCCAACCAUAUACUGAAAGAGGAAUAUUUAGUCCCAGAUCUGCUGCAGGUAGGCAGGUGCACAGACUGGGAGCAUGAGAGUACAUCAUGACUAUUUGGUGUAGCUUGAAGCACAAGGAGCUUUCUAAAUCUUGCAAACUAAAUUUGAUUCCUACAUAGAAAUUAGAAGCCUUCAGAAGUUGGAAUGUGUUCUUAAGACAACUUUCAUCUUAUUUUAGACGAACGUCUCAUUAGGUCACUCCUCUUUCUGUUCUGAAGCUCGCACUGCCACAACAUCAUAAUUAAAUGGGAUUCAUUUUCCAAUUUUAACAUAUAUUGUUUGAUGGUUGUUUUGUUUUGUUGGGUUUUUUUAAGACAAUGUACUGGAAUAGCUGAACUUGGAAUGGUAAGAAGAAGAUUGCUGUUCACCAGAGAAUCGAAGGAAUUGUACCAAUAUUUAUUCCAUUUCUAUAGCUGAUAAUUGGUUUCAGGUUCAUGUCUGUGGGCAAUCAGCUGUGUCUGUCUUCCAGUUAAGGAAAGCCUCUGAUGUGAUCUCCAGUUAAUCACCAUGAUCUUUUGAGGCUUCAUAGCUGCUGAAAUAAUGGGAAUUUAUCCUUCUUAUUACAGUGUUAGUAGUGAUGGGGUUUUAGCAUAUAUUGAAUAUUGCACAGGAUGCUAAAGUUCGGUAACUCUUUAUAUGAGACCUCUCUACCCAGGCUGAUCAGUGGGAUUGGAUGGAUGAUGCUGCAGUGAUCCCUCCUCUAGGUAGGGGUCAUAUUGAUUUUAGUUCUGGAGGAAAAGGAACGGGGAGAUGAAUUUAUUGGUAGCUAGUCCUUAACAACUGGAACUCCUGGGCACUUGGGCCUUCAGUAUCAUUGUUAGCUUGUCUUCAGAUCUCCCUGCUGCCAUGUUGCAAGGCACCUAGCUUACUAAUUACUGCACUGAUUGAUUCCUAGCUAAAAUUGCUGAAGCAGCCAGAUCAGCAGGAAAAUAGGUUGUUGAGCUUGAGAUUUGCUGCAGCACUGAGCAUUGAUAUAUCAUUAUCUACAGCUGCCUGCAUUUCUUUAAGGAAAUACAAAUAGUGGUAUAAGGUGCAUUAUGUGUUAAUGAUGAUUGCCUGACUAGAUUUGACUUCACUAAAAAGCUGUCUUGGAGAAAUCUGUAUGAUUUUUUAUUUAUUUAUUUUUUUUCCUGAAAAACCCUAUUUUCCUGUAUGGAGUUUUAUAAUUUAUUUCUACAAGCUUGUCUUUCUUGAGUAUAACACUGAAUUUCAUACAGUUCUCAACUGCAUGAAGUUGAAUUUGGGCUCUUCUUCAAAGCAAUAAGUUGCUUUCCCUGCAGCUGUUUUGAAGAGAUCUCUGGACUGGAGAAUGAAGGCAUUUUCUGGGAUGCCUGUAGCAUGACCUGAAGUCUUUUGUUUUCCCUAUUUGUUUCUUCUUCAAGGUUUUCACUAUUCUUAAUUCCCUUGUUCCAAUCUUACAAACGCUUUCGCAGAAUAAAAAGCACUGGUGUUUUACAAGGGGCAUCCUUCAAAGAGAGAGCUGGCACAGAUGAGUGAGCAUCACCCAGAUUUGUCUGCUGCUUUCAUGUGCUUUCCUGAUGGGUCACUGGAGCCUGACCUCGUUUAUGCUGGCCACUCGUGCUCUUAGAAAGCUAACUGGAGGAACUGAAGGCAGCUAAGCUGUAAGACUUGAGAAUGAAAUCAGGUUUGGGAACAUCUUUGUGCCUUUCUUAGCAAUUUCUCAUUAGGUAUAAAAUCGCUGUAGUAACUACUUAGACUUGCAUGUUCCAGGCUAGAUCUUGACUUUUUAUUUGGAUCCCGUCAGUAUAUCUUCAUUUAAUGAAGUUCUUGUUCCCUCUGCCUGGGAAUGUCCAAGUGUGAUGCUGAGAAAUUCUCAAGAGUUUGAUCAUUGUUAGCUGUUAGGAGCUGGUGCCCUUGUGUACUUGUGUCAGGAAUUCCAGGCUGAGUGAGUGGGAGCAGACAUCAUUGCUUGGGUACUCAAGCAAGGUUGCUUCUCUGUGCUGGUGUGGCUGUAAGUAUUUGGACAUCUCUGGCCCUUAAUGUUGUUGUCUGGUCUCUGGUGCAAACUUCAAAACUUCAGCUGCCCAUUUUGUCCACCUAAAGUCUCCCACCUAGCAAUUUAGCUUCACUUAAUUGGUAGAAUAGAGUAAAUCUUCGCUAUAUUCGGCUCCUGUUUAUUUACUUUAAUUAUAGUAAAUUUUGUCAGAAAUAAAAUGCUGUUGUGCUUCAUGUUAUGAAGCUUAUCAUAGUGAAUUUCAUGUUCUUUUGUGGAUAUAAAUCGUGGCUCCUUGUGUCAGCCAUAAGGUCGAGUGCAGAAUACUGAGCUCUGCUCCUGUGUUAAAGCUGGCAGCAGGUAUCAGCAUGGCUGAUGUGUCCAGAGAGCUGGCCACAAAGGGGCUCUUGUCUGCAAGAGCCAUAGGAUUGCUUAGGUUGGAUCACUGAGCCCCAUCCCUGCCAUGGGCUGGCUGCCCCCAGCUCAGGCUGCCCAGGGCCCAUCCGUGUUCUGGGGCACCUCCAGGGAUGGGGCACCCACAGCUCUGGGCAGCAGUGCUGGCACCUCACCACUCUGAGUGAAGAAUUACCCCCAGCAUCUCACCCUAUUUUCCUCUCUUGUGGUUUAAAACUGUCCAAUGUCCUAUUGCUAUCAGAGUCUUCAUCUUUUUUUAUAAGCUCUCUUUAUGUACUGAAAGGUCGCAAUGAGGUCCCCAUAGGGAUGACUACUAUUAGCUUCUGUGAUAGCUUCUGUGAGAUGCUGAUAUGAACUGUUGCCUUUCUGAGCCUAGAUCUAUGGACAGUACCCAAACACUGCUGUUUUCCAUGUGCUCAUCUGCCUUGACUUAAGCCCUUGUUGUUUGACAUAAGGGUCUCUAUAGCUCUUUAAGGAGUUUUUAACCAGCACCGUUGUGGAGGCAGGCCUCCUUCUGGACUUGUCUUUGAUAUCCUUGGUAGAGGAUAGGCAUUGCUGUCUUCAUUUCAGUUGUCUUUCUGUUUUUCUACUGACAGCUCCAAUUAGCUUGUUGCUCUACUUGUACAUACGAUGAGCUUUUAGUCACAGAAUCCCCAGAUGUCUCAAAUUGGAAGGGAUGCACAAGGAUCAUCGAGUCCAACUCCCGGCUCUGCAAAGGACCACCCAGAACUCAAACCCUUGGUUUGACAGCUUUGUGAGCUCUAGCAGCUUGGGGCCGUGACUGCUGCCCUGGGGAGCUUGUUCCAGCACUUGACCACCUUUUCCAGGACCCUUUUCCUAAUGCCCAACCAUUAUGGUAAUAUUUGUCGUAUUGUUCUAGCUGUACUAAGUGAGUUAGGGAUUCAGUCUUUAGUGUUGCACUAGGGCAAAAGUAGAAUAGGAGGCUUUAAAAAGGAAAAUAUUCAGCCAUUAAGUAUUAGAGCAGAGGUGAGUUGUGGCCCUGGUGAGAAAUUUGCUGCUUCUUUUGCACAUCACUGCAGUGCUAUACUCACAGCUCCUCCUGGAGACUCUGGGUUUUUCCUCCAUGGUAAGCCCAGAAUAGCUGUGUCCUUGAAGCACACAUGGAGGAGAUGUCCCAAAAGCUUUUACAUCUCCAGUCCAGCAACCAGAAAAUAUGGCUACAAAAAUAUGAACUCUCAAGUCUGAGCUUAGUGAAUCUGGAGAGCUGGGGAGGCAGACAAAACAAGGGCAAGGAUUUGGCUCUGGGUCUGUGCUGGCAGCAGCGCACAGCUUUCCUGCUGUCCUUCAGCUGUCCUUUGCGGGCAGCUUUGAGGUGUGGAUGGAAAAGCAACGUCUCACUUCUCAUUUUUAAACUAUUUCCCCAUGACCAUUGAAUCAAGCGCUGUGCAGCCUUGAGUCACCGAGCCUUAUUCACUGUGGAAUUUACUGAGACAAACAGCUACGACAUGCUGCUGCUAUUUAUAACGUUAUCUCAUUGUCUGUGGGUUACAUGAUGCUGUGUGGUAUGAGGGCUUGGAGGGGAGACCCUCUGCAAUGUGCAGCGUUUCCAAGCUUUUUUACUGCACUGUCCAUGUCAUUGAUGAAGGUAUUAAAGAGUAUCAGUCCCAGCACUGACCCUUCUGGGACACCUCUCACCUCCAGCUCCAUUCAGACAUGGAGCUAUUGACUGCUGCACUCUGGACUUAAUCCUGCAGCCAGUUCUUCGUCCAUUGAACAAUCCAUCAAAUCCACAUCUUUCCAAUUUGGUGAGAAGGAUGUUGUGGGGUACGGUGUCAAAGGCCUUACUGAAGUUGAGAUGGACGACAUCCGUGGCUCUUCCCUUCUACAUUGAUGCAGUGACACCAUCACAGAAGGCUAGCAGGUUGGUCAAGCAGGAUUCACCCUUGGUGAAGCCAUGCUGGUUGUCACAUAUCACCUCCUUUCUGAAAUAUCUGACUAGUGAUUUUCUUAGGAGCUUACUUUACAUGAGGGGCCAGUAGUUAAAGUCUCAUUUUGACCUGGAAAAGUUGACUUCUCCAAAAAAAUGAGUUAUGUGUAACUUUAAACAUGGCCAGAGUAUCCCAUCAGAGUUGCUGCAGCUGUCACUGGAACCUUUUCUCAAAGCAGAUGUGAAAUCGAUACCUGCAAGAUGCCUUCAGCUCAGAAGAAAACAAAGCUUAUUUCUGGAUCUGAGCCUUUUGAAUUGGUUCCAGAAUGCCCGAAGGAGUUGGGAGCGGGGAAUUCCCUGCUAACUCUUGCAAGCAAAAUGCGAAGGCAUUAAACUACUCUUGUAUCAAAGCAUAAGGGAAGGUGGCUGGGAAAUGUAUAACGGCAGCUGGAUUCCAUACACAGAUUGCUUCUUUGCCUGAUGUUCUAUCAAGGACAGCAUCCUCAAAUGGUUGAAUGAGACCUCUUCAAGCUGACACUGCAUGAGGAAGUUGGAUAUAAAAUAAGCCCUUCUCGGUAUAUCUGCAGCCAGACUUUUUUUGUUUGACUGGCAAACUGACUGACAGUAUUUAGUAUCACGUUCUUUGCAUUUCCUUUUUGGGUGUUGUGUGCUGCAUGUAUGAACCAUGUGAUGCAGUGUGGGAACAUGGAUGUACCUGAAUUUUGGCCUCCAUGCACAGCCUUCUACUUUGUACCUGAAGCAUACAGAGCAGUUGCAAGGGCUGGGAGGAGGGGGCUGUUCUCAGUGAGCUGCUUCAGCGGAGACUUUCUGCUCACUGCUGUAGCCAAAAGAGGAGAACAGAGCUUGGGCUGGUGAAAACCAGGACUGCCAUGCCCGGCCCAUCAUCUCCCCUCCAGCUCAGAUGCUGGCAUGCUGGAUGUGGAAGAAAACCUUUUGUUGUGAAAGCAAGGCUGGUAGGAAAGCUGCUAUCUGCUUAUCAGCCCAGCUGUGUACGGUGCUGGUACUGAUGUACCCUGCCAGCUUAUCCCAUUUCAAAGGGCUGAGAGCAAAGCAGUAAGGAGCACAGAGGAGGGCAGUAAAGAUGAAUUACUGGCUGCUGUUGUACGAGUGAUUGAGCUGAUUACAGCUAUCUAGCCUUGAACAAGAUUGGAUAGGAGACUACCUGAUAAAAUAGGUGAACAGCUCACUCUUUCUGCCAAGAACUAGGGGACAUCAAAUGGAAGCAGUAGAUGCCAGAUUCAAAGUGAAAGAUGGUCUGGAGGUGCUGGGAGUUUGAGAGCUGAACACAGGAUUCCACACAUUGCAUAGGAGGCAAAUAUACUUGAGCUCCAAACAGAGUCAGGAAGCCCCUAAACCACAAACAGGUGCUUUGGGAGAGGUUAUUUAGGGGAAGCUUCACUGCAAGGUUGUCUUAUCUUUGCAUUCUCUCCUGGUUAAUCAUACUGGGUGAUGGGAAGGGACUGCUGGGCUGACUUGCCUUUUAGCCUCAAUGUGGCUCUUCUCAUGUAAAGCUGGCAAAAGGAACCCAGUUUUCACGAGCAAAACUGCUUUGGCAGUUCUUUUCUAUGAGAACUGUAACUUUAAUUAUUGCAUAGUGACUUGUAGCAGCAUUUAAUCCAGUGUUCUGGUUGCUUUGCUGCUGCAGUACAAGGGCACAUGAGGUGUGAGUUUGCCCUGUGAACAGUGCCCUGGCAAUACAACCUCUGAACAUCUGCCUUUUUACACAUUUUUGUUUAUCUGCAAGUUUUUGUUUUCCAUCUCAAAAAAAAAGUUGAAUUGCAUCUGCUUAUUAAAACAAAAAAAAAAAGUGAAAUCUGAUCUUGUAUAGAGUUAUUGGAAGUUAUUAAUGAAAAGAGUGGGACAUUUCCACCUUCUCUACUUGCUUUAAUUAUACCAGGAGAUGGGGGGCAGGUGUCAGUCCCUGCUUCUGUGAGCAGUGCAUCAAUUUCACCCCGACUAUGGGAAAAGCAACAGAGUGGCAUAAAAGCAUAGGAUCAUCUGCAAUGAUGCUGACUGUGGGAUGGCUUGCAGGCCUUGCAGUCUGCAUUUAGUGUGCUUUCUGAAAUCCCACGCUGGAAAUCCCUUCUUUAUAAAGAUAUGUCACUGUUAUGAACCCUUAUCCGUGCUUUACAAUGGUUAUUUCUUAAGAGGAUUAUGUAUCUUUGUAUCACCCAUACUGAAAAGAAUAUCAAGCAUGUGUCCCAGGGUUUUGUUGUUUCCUGAGCUUUGUAAAUACUGUUAAGAAAUAAAAUGCACUGGUUUACCAUAAUAAAUCCUAAUACUUCAGGAGAUAAUAAGCACUAUUGGAGGUUAUUUGCUUCAGAAGACGGGUGAGUUACCUUGCAGCAUCAGGUGGGCUGUUGUCCAGUACACACUGUGGGGUGGGAUGCUGCCUUGGCUAUUUAAAAGCUCAUUAAAAUUGCAUCUCCCAUGCUAUGGUUCUGUCCUUACCCCCUCCAGCUAGCUGUCCAGGCUUCUGUGAGCAAGCCAGAAUUGAUCACAGCAAUUAGCUGAGCCCAGGGGAGAUUUCUAAAUGCUAAUGUGUAUAGUUGUUUGGUUGUUGGUUUUUUUUCUUUCUUUUUUUUUUCUUUCUUUUUGCUGUUAGCUGAUGUGUUACUGCUAGUGAUGGGUGCUUCCUCACUUUAAUGCAUUCAUUCUUCUCCUCUGUCUUUAACAGUUAUCUGUAGACUGUUCUGUAGACAGUGGAAUCGUAGAAUCACAGAAUGUCUUGGGUUGGAAGGGACCUCAAGCAUCAUGCAGCUCCGAACCCCCCUGUCACAGGCAGGGCCACCAACCUCCAUAUCUAAUUCUAGACCAGGCUGCCCAGGGCCCUAUCCAACCUGG